rnacentral:sRNA from 1 species
CUCAUAUGCUUGUUGAGGACAGAUAAAGUGGAUGUGGGUAUCAAACCCGCCCGCCGUUAUGAUCUUAUGUUCGCCUGCAAUGACAUCGGUGCAGGAACCGACCACUAGGUUGGGGUCCACUCCGUCCAUCACGUCCGGGUUACCUGCCUUGCCAAUACCAACAAUGAUUCCGUCUUUGAUUCCGAUAUCCGCCUUGUAGAUGCCAGACCAGUCGAUAAUCAAAGCGUUGGUGAUGACGGUAUCCAGCGAGUCCUUGUCGGAUCGACCUCCAGCUUGACCCAUGCCUUCUCUGAG